UACGUAGGGUGCGAGCGUUAAUCGGAAUUACUGGGCGUAAAGUGUGCGCAGGCGGCCGCGCAAGUCGAGUGUGAAAGCCCCCGGGCUUAACUUGGGAAUUGCGCUCGAAACUACGUGGCUGGAGUGUGGCAGAGGAAGGGUGGAAUUCCACGUGUAGCGGUGAAAUGCGUAGAGAUGUGGAGGAACACCAAUGGCGAAGGCAGCCUUCUGGGCCAACACUGACGCUCAUGCACGAAAGCGUGGGGAGCAAACAGG
rnacentral:rRNA from 1 species